rnacentral:rRNA from 1 species
AGAGUUUUGAUCCUGGCUCAGAGCGAACGCUGGCGGCAGGCCUAACACAUGCAAGUCGAACGGAUCCUUCGGGAUUAGUGGCGGGCGGGUGAGUAACACGUGGGAACGUGCCCUUUGGUUCGGAACAACUCAGGGAAACUUGAGCUAAUACCGGAUGUGCCCUUCGGGGGAAAGAUUUAUCGCCAUUGGAGCGGCCCGCGUCUGAUUAGCUAGUUGGUGGGGUAAAGGCCCACCAAGGCGACGAUCAGUAGCUGGCCUGAGAGGAUGAUCAGCCACAUUGGGACUGAGACACGGCCCAAACUCCUACGGGAGGCAGCAGUGGGGAAUCUUGCGCAAUGGGCGAAAGCCUGACGCAGCCAUGCCGCGUGAAUGAUGAAGGUCUUAGGAUUGUAAAAUUCUUUCACCGGGGACGAUAAUGACGGUACCCGGAGAAGAAGCCCCGGCUAACUUCGUG